ACUCUUAACUUCAGAAGUAGAAAUUCAUAAUUACUCGACACCCUUUCCGAACUCAAAAGUAAUUCUAUCUUCGCUAAAAAUACUAUUUAUGGGAACCUUAGUAAGUUAAGUUU
rnacentral:rRNA from 1 species